CGCUCCUGCAGCAUAGGGAGGUGCCCAGGCUAGGGGUCGAAUUGGAGCUGUAGCCACCAGUCUACACCAGAGCCACAGCAACACGGGAUCCGAGCCGCGUCUGCAACCUACACCACAGCUCACGGCUACGCUGGAUCCUUAACCCACUGAGCAAGGCCAGGGAUAGAACCCACAACCUCAUGGUUCCUAGGCGGAUUCGUUAACCAUUGAGCCACGACGGGAACUCCGAGGGUCCAUUUCUUGAGUAUCUAACUGAAAUGCAGAGAUAAGUGAUGCAUGGAUAAGACAGUAACCAACUAAACCUUUUGCUACGUAAGCUGAUCUGCAGUCACAUACAUGUCCUAUAUUAAACAACUGAGUUGAUGAACCUAAGGGCAAAAAUUAUCCAUGCUAAGUGCCCCGGUGUUUGUUACUGAGCUGUUGAAACUAUGUGUUCCCUGUGACAGGUCCCCAACAUGACUGGCUUCGCCAUAACCCCAUCAUUCAGGCAUUUUCUGUAUCAGGAAUUGAAGUGAGUAUUUUACACACUGGAUAAAGGAAAUAUUAUGCCCACUUUACAGACGAGAAAGCUCAAGUUUAGAGGAGUUAGUAAGCUUAGGCAACGUGAUUAGACAGCUGGUGGCAAAACCUCACCAGCUCACCUCCUUGUCAGACAGACGAUACUGAUGCCCAAGAGUAUUUCAGGGAUUCAAUGCAAAAUCAGCCCGCUUAGAAGCCUCUGGAGGGUCACUAUCUCUGAAAUUCAAAAUAACAGUAUUCCUUUGCGGUUCUAACACACACCAAGCAAAGGCUGUAUCUCACUGGGCUUUUAAAAGGAUAGAACCAUUACGCUGGCCUUGUCCAAAAAUACAAAAGUGGCCUCAGCUUAAAUUUGGGACAUGAGCAAAAUGUCCAAAACUUAUGGUAAAAGCGUCUUUGAGUAUUUGUCAGCACUAACAGUUACUUUCUCUUAACUGUGCUUAAGAGAAAACUAUUGCUACUGAAGAGUCCUGUCUACUUUCUGAAACUGAAACCUUUAAACGACUUAGUCACAGCAUUUUCAGACCCUAUGCUGGAAUGAAUUGUGUCCUAAACAAAGUGGAAAGCGAAAUUCAGUGGAGGCAGAUAGGUAAUAAGCCUAAAAUGUUGCAGUAUUUAUUGAGUUCUAGGUAGAUACCUGAUUAUCUACGUUUCGAGACAAUGUGUUAGUCCUUCCAAGAAAUACAGAGAGCAUUUCUGCCUGCCCUGCUCCUCUGCCCUCUCCUCCCCCAUCACUGAGCCUCGGCAUGUGAAGGGGUUAACCUUUCACUUUGGCUUGGUUAUCAGCAUCACUCAGACCCCUCUCCAAAUCUGAACUUCAGAGGUGGAAUCAUCUUCUACUGCCAGCCAAGAGUGUUCGGAUUUACCGUAAUUAUUAAUUAACGUCUACUUGGAAAGGACUUGAAUAAGAAAGAAAAAAUUUCCAAGGCCUAAGUUUGGUAUUUAAAUUUUAUCAUCAUUUAGAAGCAUUCUUCUUCCAUUCAAAUUUAUUUCAGUUGAAAACUGUCAACAGCUGUGUUUGUACCUCGGUUUUAUGAUCUGUUUAUUUCUAAACCUAGAGGAAACUCCCAAUUGGAAAUGGAGUCCACACAGCUAAUCUCUGGCUUGAGUUGCUAGAUGAAUUUAAUAACAAAAAGGACUGCUAAUCUUGCCAGUUCUGUUAAGUAAUCUUGUUUCCCGUUAAGACUAUUAAGUGACAAAAAAAAAGCCUCAACUCCCUCGGAAUAGAAAAAUAUGAGUAUUACUAUUUCGUUAGAAAUGAAUUUUUACUUUUAGGAAAAACAUUAUAUUAGUUAUAUCUGCAGAUCAAAAUAUUUAACAAUCUCCAAUUUUAUGAGUAGGAAAAUGGGAUAGCAUGAGGAAAUCCAAUGUACAGAAGCCUAGUUCAAUACACCUGUACCUGCAACAAAAGGGAAAACUAGAAAAACUAAACAGCAAGGAAUCCUUAGCCUGGUACUCUUAGGUGGUUAACUAUGGCUCAGAACGAGCUGAUAUCCAAGAUAAACACUUCUUUAACUGCAGGGAAAAAAACCAAAAAGGAUUCACAACAAAUCAAAAUAUUUUUUCUGAUAAAGUCAUGGGCCCAAAUAUAAUACUUUGUUAUCUGAGAAAACAAAAACUGGCCACAAGCAACUUCCAAAGGACUAUAGGAAUAAAGGUAUAUUCAAUUCACUCUUCACUAUUUUGUGAAAACUUGGUAAUGCCAGAGUAACAUAUAACUCCUAUUCCCUUGCAGGCUUCAUCCCCGAGACUUAGGGACAAGAAAACACACUUGAAACUUCUCCUCACCCCUAACCGAAGUACCAAGCCCUGCAGCCAGGGACAGAUAAAGGACUUUCUGAAGAUAGAAAAAAACAAAAACAAAAAAACCUCACAGCCACAGAUGUUUAUCAAACUACACCAAAAUAGAUACAUUAGCAUUAUUAGUUACAUUCCUAAAGGUUACUGCAAAUUAGAGAUAAGAAAAAAAGGAGACUGUGUGAUUCAAACAUUUUAAGAGACGUGGAAAACUUCAGACUAAACUGACAUCUGGUAAAAGGAAUAAGAGAAACUCUGAGCCAGGAGGUCAGAUUUUUACUCAGACUUUUACUAAAACUCCAUGCGCCACAAACUAUGUACCUGGUUCCCACGGAACUCAGUGAUUAUCUACUAUUUCCUGCGUGUAGGCUCUGUGGUUCUGUGGUAGAUAUUCUCCUCCAGCUGUCAUCUCCUUUGCCCUUUUCUUCUAGAUACUGGGAGCUGACAGUUUUUGUUGGGUUUGUUUUUGAUUUUCUUUGGCCUCGCCUGUGGCAUGUGGAGUUCUCAGGCCAAAGGCUGGAACCUGCACCACACAACGACCCAAGCCGCAGAGGUGACAAUGCCAGAUCCUGAACCCGCCGCACCACAAGGGAACUCUGAGAGCAGCAAGUUUUCAGGAAACAGUUGUGACCAGUUAUCACAGCUCUCAGAAAAGUUUUCCAGUGGUUGAACUUUACCAAAAAAACCUUAACAGGUUUCUCAUUUUCCAGUGGCUUCUAGAGCAAAGGUUUAAUCAUCAAUUAAAAUGUGGCCUACGUGUUCCCCACAUGGAAAAGCAGCCCAGUAAGUGUUAACUUUCUUUCCGACAAUUUAUUGUACUCCUAUUGGCAGAACUGAACAGAAACUUUCACUUCUACAGCAUAUGUAGGCAUUAAGGUUUUAAUUUUCAAGUCCAACAUCACUCCUAUUCCAGAAUCACCAGAGAAAAGCAGCAGCAUUUUAUUCGUUCAGACUAGAGCUUCAUUUCAGAUAUUAACUCACAAUUCUGAAUCUAUAGAAAAGAGGGCAGAUAGGAAGGAGCAGCAGAAGUAAAACUGAGGUUGUUUGGGGUCCCAAUAAAAAAAGUUGUUCUGUAGCUGUUUAAGAACUUCACUCUGCAAAUUACUUCCUUGGGCCAGAGAAAAACUUCUCCCUAAAUUACUGGAACUUUACCAAAAUAUCAAUCACAGCAGCCCUGGGGACUAAUUUGGUAAGAUGAGACUGCAUGCAUAGUAGCCUGAACAGACACAAUAUAUCAUGGUUCAAGCAAGUCUUGCCAAAUUUUAGUGGUACAGAGAAAAGCUGCUUUUAUUUUGCUAUAUUCUUAAGUUAAAUGCAUUCCCUUAAAACUCUCCAAAAUCAUUA
rnacentral:lncRNA from 1 species